UACAGAGGUCCCAAGCGUUGUUCGGAUUCACUGGGCGUAAAGGGUGCGCAGGUGGUCGGGUAAGUCUGACGUGAAAUCCCGCAGCUUAACUGCGGAAUGGCAUUGGAUACUAUUCGGCUAGAGGGUUGGAGGGGGGACUGGAAUUCUCGGUGUAGCAGUGAAAUGCGUAGAUAUCGAGAGGAACACCAGUGGCGAAGGCGAGUCCCUGGACAGUGACUGACGCUGAGACGCGAAAGCGUGGGGAGCAAACAGG
rnacentral:rRNA from 1 species